GUAGGGUACUAGCUAGAUGUAGUUCUUGAAGUGAAGUCCAAAAAUACUAAGAAAGAAAUGGGUGGUUCCCUAUUUUCUCUUCAUCGCAUUAUGGUUUCGUUACUUUUCAUUUUCAUGUUCUUGCUAGAAGCCGUCCAUGGCACAAAAAAGUGUUACAUUGUAUACUUGGGAGCACAUUCUCAUGGCCCUCACCCUACAUCUGUUGAACUUGAUAUUGCUACCAAUUCUCAUUAUGAUUUACUAAGUUCAACUUUGGGAAGCCGGGAGAAAGCAAAAGAAGCAAUCAUUUACUCAUAUAACAAACACAUCAAUGGCUUUGCUGCCUUACUUGAAGAAGAAGAAGCAGCAGAUAUUUCAAAAAAAGCAAAUGUAGUGUCAGUGUUCUUGAGCAAAUCUCAUAAACUGCACACAACAAGGUCAUGGGAAUUUCUUGGACUGCAAAGAAAUGGUAAGAAACACUGCAUGGCAAAAGGGAAAGUUUGGUGAAAAUACAAUAAUCGCAAACAUCGACUCCGGUGUUUGGCCGGAAUCCAAGAGCUUCGGUGAUAAGGGAUUUGGACCUAUUCCAUCUAAAUGGCGUGGGACAAAUGCGUGUCAAAUUAGACAAUUCCGCAAAUUGAAGAAAAAUCCUUGCAACAGGAAGCUAAUCGGAGCCAGAUUCUUCAGCAAUGCUUAUGAAGCAUAUUAUGGCAAGCUUCGCUCAUGGCAACUUAGCGCACGUGACUUUGUAGGACACGGUACUCAUACACUAUCAACAGCAGGUGGAAACUUCGUACCAGGUGCAAGUAUAUUCGGUAUUGGCAAUGGUACCAUAAAAGGUGGUUCACCUAGAGCUAGAGUUGCCACAUACAAAGUGUGCUGGUCUCUAACAGAUGUUGCUGACUGCUUUGGAGCCGACGUGUUAGCUGCUAUUGACCAAGCCAUUAGUGAUGGUGUUGAUAUAUUAUCACUUUCAGUUGCUGGCCAAUAUCUUGUCUAUCCUGAAGAUAUUUUCACAGAUGAGGUUUCAAUAGGAGCAUUCCAUGCACUUUCUAGAAACAUAUUAGUAGUUGCCUCUGCAGGGAACGAUGGACCAACCGCAGGAAGCGUGGUGAAUAUAGCUCCAUGGGUAUUCACAAUUGCUGCUAGUACAUUAGACAGAGAUUUCAGCAGUACAAUAACUAUUGGUAACAAAAAAGUCACGGGAGCUAGUCUUUUUGUAACCUUACCGCCUAAUAAGUCGUUUUCUCUGAUUCUUGGUACGGAUGGUAAACUUGCCAAUGCGACAGAUCGUGCUGCGCGACUUUGUAGGCCCGGAACACUUGAUCCUUCAAAAGUGAAGGGCAAAAUAGUGGGAUGUGAUCGAGAAGGAAAUAUAAAAUCAGUUGCUGAGGGUCAGGAAGCUUUAUCAGCAGGUGCCAAGGGAAUGCUUUUGAGCAAUCGACCACAACAAGGGAAAACAACUCUUGCUGAGCCUCAUGUUUUGUCUUGUGUGGGUAACUCGCAAGAUGAAAACACUCUAGUUAUUAUCAAUACAACAGAACCUGCAGGGUCACAUGCUGCUUAUGACAUAACUUCCAUGGACUCUAAAUUAAAGUCGGGUACCACAAUAAGGUUUUCAGGAGCAAAAGUAUUGUAUGGAAGAAAGCCAGCUCCAGUAAUGGCUUCAUUCUCAUCUAGAGGACCAAAUAAGAUUCAGCCGUCAAUACUCAAGCCUGAUGUAACUGCACCAGGUGUGAACAUACUUGCUGCCUACUCAUUGUUCGCAAGUGCUUCCAACUUAAUAACAGACAAUCGCCGAGGUUUUCCAUACAAUGUACAACAAGGAACCUCUAUGUCUUGCCCUCAUGUGGCCGGCAUUGCAGGACUUCUCAAAACAAAGCAUCCUAAUUGGAGUCCAGCAGCUAUUAAAUCGGCUAUCAUGACCACAGCAACCACACUAGAUAACACAAACAGACCAAUUCAAGAUGCAUUUAAAAAAAAACAAGCAACUCCCUUUGCUUAUGGUUCAGGGCAUGUUCAACCUGACCUUGCAAUAGAUCCUGGACUUGUUUAUGAUCUAGGCAUUAAGGAUUACUUGAAUUUCCUAUGUGCUUAUGGAUACAACCAACAACUCAUUUCAGCACUUAAUUUCAAUGGUACAUUUGUUUGUUCCGGAUCUCACAGCAUAGAAGACUUUAACUACCCUUCAAUCACGUUACCGAAUCUUGGGUUAAAUGUCGUUAAUGUCACUCGGACGGUCACCAAUGUUGGGUCACCCGGCACAUAUGUAGCAAAAGCCCAAUUGCCUGGAUAUAAAAUUGCCGUUGUACCAAACUCCUUGACUUUCAAGAAAAUUGGUGAAAAGAAGACAUUCCAAGUUAUUGUGCAGGCAACAAAUGUGACUCCACGGAAGAAAUAUCAAUUUGGAAAUUUGCAAUGGACAGAUGGAAAACACAUUGUAAGGAGUCCUAUCACCGUUAAGCGCAAAUAAACAUUCCUGAUUCGUUCUGUCAGGAUAUUACAGUGUGCAUGCACUGCCAAUGUAUUUGAGUAUUAGGAUUUCAUGUUAUCACUAGUUUGUGGGAUCUGGAUUGCGUGCAGUCAAAUCAGAUCUGAUAGUUUGAUUAGGAUCAGGCGGUUCUAAAUUAAAACAGACUUUUCUUUUUAUUUAAACUACUUUAAGUUUGUACCGUCCGAUCUUAAUCAGACAGUCAGAUUUAAUUUGAUUGCAUGACUGCGACUGCAAUCCAUAUCCGUAGUUUGUGUGCCUUUUGUUAUUUUAUCCUUCUUUGGUUGUUUAUGUUUUAUAGUAUGGAGUGUUUUGUAAUCAUUAUCAAUAAAUGGCAGUGCAGUAUCUUUAGUCUGUUGUUUA